GAGCAGCCGCGGUAAUACGUAGGUGGCAAGCGUUAUCCGGAAUUAUUGGGCGUAAAGCGCGCGUAGGCGGUUUUUUAAGUCUGAUGUGAAAGCCCACGGCUCAACCGUGGAGGGUCAUUGGAAACUGGAAAACUUGAGUGCAGAAGAGGAAAGUGGAAUUCCAUGUGUAGCGGUGAAAUGCGCAGAGAUAUGGAGGAACACCAGUGGCGAAGGCGACUUUCUGGUCUGUAACUGACGCUGAUGUGCGAAAGCGUGGGGAUCAAACAGGAUUAGAAACCCCAGUAGUCC
rnacentral:rRNA from 1 species